CUGAAACUGGCCCUGUAGAGCAGG
rnacentral:piRNA from 1 species